rnacentral:rRNA from 1 species
GAACGCUGGCGGCGCGCUUACACAUGCAAGUCGAGCGAGAAAGCCCCUUCGGGGGUGAGUACAGCGGCGCACGGGUGAGUAACACGUGGACAAUCUACCUCGAAGUGGGGGAUAACUUCGCGAAAGUGGGGCUAAUACCGCAUAAUCUUCUUUUGCCGAGGUGAAAGGAGGAAAGGUUUACCGCUUUGAGAUGAGUCUGCGGCCCAUCAGCUAGUUGGUAGGGUAACGGCCUACCAAGGCGACGACGGGUAGCUGGCCUGAGAGGGUAACCAGCCACACUGGAACUGGAACACGGUCCAGACUCCUACGGGAGGCAGCAGUGGGGAAUCUUGCGCAAUGGGGGAAACCCUGACGCAGCGACGCCGCGUGGGUGAAGAAGGCCUUCGGGUUGUAAAGCCCUGUCGCAGAGGAAGAAAAGGCAACUUGACGGUACUCUGUGAGAAAGCACAGGCUAACUCCGUGCCAGCAGCCGCGGUAACACGGAGUGUGCGAGCGUUGUUCGGAAUCACUGGGCGUAAAGCGAUUGUAGGCGGAUUAUCAAGUCGGUUGUGAAAUCCCGGGGCUCAACCCCGGACUGGCAUCCGAAACUGAUAGUCUUGAGUCCGGUAGAGGGCAGUGGAAUUCCCGGUGUAGAGGUGAAAUUCGUAGAUAUCGGGAAGAACACUAGUGGCGAAGGCGACUGCCUAGGCCGAGACUGACGCUGAGAAUCGAAAGCGUGGGGAGCGAACAGGAUUAGAUACCCUGGUAGUCCACGCCGUCAACGGUGGGCACUAGGUGGUGCGGGUGUCUGACCCCU